ACAAGCGACUCGUGGGCGUCAAUACUGGGCUGAGUUUGUGGCGCGCUUAGUGAUGGGAUGGCCCUGUGCAGGACGCCGACACGAAAAGAUGAAGAGUUCAAUCCGUGCUGUCUGAACUCACAGUGUAGCAGGCGAGAUAGACGGGAAGAUCGGUAGGGUGGGAGAUGCCGGAAAGGCUUCCCGUGAGACUGGAUAAGAAAUCAAAAAUCUGGUGAAAUUGCCGGCAAGAGGGAGUUAAGGACAUUCCAGGCAGAGGCAAGUCCAGAUUCCUAAGAUGAGGACACAGCAUCCUGGGCCACUGUCACUAAUACAAAUUUGCCUCUGGAGGGACUCUACGGAAGAUAAUUCCCCUGAAAUUUGGAGAGUUGAAUUAAGCUAGGACUGAUUCUGGCUGGAAUUUGUGGUGGCUACGUACCCUAGAGGGCCUCAAGGAAACCCACGGUUCAAGACAGCCCUGACAGAUUCUGGAGUCUAGAACAGAAAUGGAUUUGAACAUGGGCAAGGCCAACCACCCAGUUCACGGCCUGUGUACAGCAAAGAUUACGUUACAGCCUGAGAGCUAAGCCUGGAAGCUCUUUCAUCCAUCCGUUUGUCCAUCUAUCCAUCCAUCUGCUCAUCCAUCCCUCCAUCUGCUCAACAAACGUUAGAGAAUCAAUCCUUGUGUCAGAUACUGGGGCUGCCCUCAAGGAGCUUUUAUAGAGUUCAGGGUACAGCCAGGUGGGGGAGACAGAUCACUAUAAAAACCUACCACUAUAAUCCAAAGGACAAGAGCAAAAAUAGUAAAGAGGAGAGAAGACCCAAAUUUGCCUGGUGGGUCAGAGAGGGCUUUCUAGAAGAGGUAAAAAAUCUUCGGGGCUAUCACUUCACCUUGCCUGGUGGAUAAAGGGAGGACUUUCCAGAUACAGUGGACAGAAUGUGCAGAGGCAGGAGCCAUGAGUGGCAGAGGCAGGGGAGGGACUGCAGAGACAGGUUGGAGCCAAAGCACGUGGCACUGGAGCCAUAGCCAAAGGAACAAACUGUGAGACCUGGGACUUGAAUUUGGAGGUGGUGAAAAGUGACAAGGUCUUCACAGAAGAGUGAUUUUUUCAACUUAGGGAAGGCUGACCCCAGACCAAUGCUGCCAAAGUGUGGUCUGUGGGCUGUUAGCAGUUCGUGACGAUGUAAGUACAGGAAUUGAGAUUAAGCAUUUAGAACACCUACAGCACUUUGAUAGUCAUUUUACUUUUUAAAUUUUGAGCUGGCAUUUUAUAUGCCUGGUUUUUUUUUGUUUUUGUUUUUUUAUUUUUUUUGAGACAGUCUCGCUCUGUCGCCCAGGCUGGAGUGCAGUGGCGCGAUCUCUGCUCACUGCAAGCUCCGCCUCCCGGGUUCACGCCAUUCUCCUGCCUCAUCCUCCCAAGUAGCUGGGACUGCAGGCGCCUGCCGCCUCGCCCAGCUAAUUUUUUGUAUUUUUAAUAGAGACGGGGUUUCACCAUGUUAGCCAGGAUGGUCUCAAUCUCCUGAUCUCGUGAUCUGCCCGCCUUGGCCUCCCAAAAUGCUGGGAUUACAGGUGUGAGCCACCACGCCCAGCCUUAUUCUCUUUUUCUAAUAGUUGCACUUUAUCAUAUUUUACAAAUGUGUGAGUCUGCUAUGGAUUAGAAAUUAAUAAGAGAUUUUGCCACAGAUAGUUUGAGAAGCCCAGCACUGCCACUCAACAAAUGCUGGUGCAUUCAGAUGGUGAAAUAUUCUGCAGCUAUUAAAGGAGUUAAAACUGCCUCCACUUACCUGGAGGCCCAUCUGUGACACCUUUUUAGGUUAAAAGGAAAAGAAAAACUUGCUUAGGACUGAAUAUGAGCGGUUGCAAUUUGUAACAAUGAUGUAUAUAUACAUAUACAUUUUCAUGUAUUUGUAUGAACAUAAAAGUAUUGAAGGAUAUUCAUCAAACUGCUAAAAGGGUUGCUUCAGAGUAACGGACUCGGAGAAGGCAGAUUAAUUUUCUCUUAAUGGAACUCUGUAUUGUAUCACUUGUAAAAAUAAGCAUGUGUUAUCUUUAUGAUAAAAAAGUAAAAACCUAAAAAAG
rnacentral:lncRNA from 1 species